GACGAACGCUGGCGGCGUGCUUAACACAUGCAAGUCGAACGGAAAGGCCCUGCUUUUGUGGGGUGCUCGAGUGGCGAACGGGUGAGUAACACGUGAGUAACCUGCCCUUGACUUUGGGAUAACUUCAGGAAACUGGGGCUAAUACCGGAUAGGAGCUCCUGCUGCAUGGUGGGGGUUGGAAAGUUUCGGCGGUUGGGGAUGGACUCGCGGCUUAUCAGCUUGUUGGUGGGGUAGUGGCUUACCAAGCCUUUGACGGGUAGGCGGCCUGAGAGGGUGACCGGCCACAAUGGGACUGAGAUACGGCGCAGACGCCUACGGGCGGCAGCAGGGGGGAAUAUUGCACAAUGGGCGGAAGCCUGAUGCAGCAACGCCGCGUGCGGGAUGACGGCCUUCGGGUUGUAAACCGCUUUCGCCUGUGACGAAGCGUGAGUGACGGUAAUGGGUAAAGAAGCACCGGCUAACUACGUG
rnacentral:rRNA from 1 species